GAUGAACGCUGGCGGCGUGCAUAACACAUUCAAGUCGAACGGAGUUUAUGGAAGGAAGUCUUCGGAUGGAAUGAAGUAAACUUAGUGGCGGACGGGUGAGUAACGCGUGAGCAACCUGCCUUGGCAUGGGGGAUAACGUUUGGAAACGGACGCUAAUACCGCAUAUCGCAUAGGGACCGCAUGAUCCUUAUGCAAAAGAUUUAUUGUGCUAAGAUGGGCUCGCGUCCCAUUAGAUAGUUGGUGAGGUAACGGCCCACCAAGUCGACGAUGGGUAGCCGAACUGAGGGGUUGAACGGCCACAUUGGAACUGAGAUACGGUCCAGACUCCGACGGGAGGCAGCAGUGGGGAAUAUUGGGCAAUGGGCGAAAGCCUGACCCAGCGACGCCGCGUGAGGGAAGAAGGUCUUCGGAUUGUAAACCUUUGUUGAUAGGGACGAACAGAUGACGGUACCUAUCGAGGAAGCCACGGCUAACUACGUGCCAGCCGCCGCCGUAACAC
rnacentral:rRNA from 1 species